rnacentral:rRNA from 1 species
GACGAACGCUGGCGGCGUGGAUUAGGCAUGCAAGUCGAACGGUAUAUAUUCUUUCGGGAGUAUAGAGAGUGGCGAACGGGUGAGUAACGCGUAGGUGAUCUACCUUCAAGUGGGGGACAACCCAGGGAAACUUGGGCUAAUACCGCAUGUGUCCUUAAGGAUAAAGCCGGCCUCUGUAUAUGCUGGUGCUUGGAGCUGAGCCUGCGUCUGAUUAGCUAGUUGGUGGGGUAACGGCCUACCGAGGCGAUGAUAAGUAGGCGGCUUUAACGAGUGGUCGCCCACACUGGGAUUGAGAUACGGCCCAGACUCCUACGGGAGGCAGCAGUCGAGGAUAGUCUACAAUGGUCGAGAGAUUGAUAGUGCGACGCCGCGUGAACGAAGAAGCAUUUCGGUGUGUAAAGUUCUUUUCUACUGGAGCAGUGCUUU